GACGCAUGUGGUUUCCUAUGUCAGAACGCGGGAAAUGAGUGCAAUUUAUACUUGUCAUAAUCUGAUGCUCAUUCAGUUCGACCUGAAAUUCAUUGCACUGGCAACAAUCAUGGGGAAACAUGAGAUUACAUGGUAGAGAGGCAUAUUUGCAUGGUGAUCACGAUUGGGUGUUCACUGUUCUGGAAAAUAGGUAGAAUGGAAAAGGAGAGAAAAAGGACGUGGUGUUGAUAAUAAAGAGAUCAGAUUAGAUUCCCUACAGUGUGGAAACAGGACCUU